rnacentral:rRNA from 1 species
UACGUAGGGGGCAAGCGUUAUCCGGAUUUAUUGGGCGUAAAGAGCUCGUAGGCGGCCGUUCGCGUCGGAUGUGAAAGCUCAGGCUCAACCCUGAGACGCCAUUCGAUACGGGACGGCUAAGAGGUAGGUAGGGGAAAGUGGAAUUCCGUGGUGUAGCGGUGAAAUGCGCAGAUAUCAGGAGGAACACCAAUUGCGAAGGCAGCUCGCUGGGACGUUACUGACGCUGAGACGCGAAAGCGUGGGGAGCAAACAGG